GGGCGGAGUUUCGGAAUAUGUCUUUGAUCCAUGCUUGGAAGGGUCACGUGUCAAAUAGUGUGCACCAUUUUAAAAAUGGCGUAAUAAUACAUAUCACGGACCACCUAAUUUACAUUGAAAUAAUAUCAAUAUAAUAUCUGUUGGCCAUCUGUUGGGAAUUUCGUUAGCUAGCUAUGAAGUAUUAAAGCUAUGCCUGGCCGUAAUUGUGCUUUUUUUGGUUGUUCAACAAGCCAAAAGCACCAAAUUUCAUUGUUUCGAAUACCAGUCAUGAGCGUGCACGAAAGUGAAUAUAAGUCGUCAAUAAAAAAGGAAACUCGGGAGAAAUGGCUUGAAAUUAUUUUCAGAACCAGAGCGAUUACCUCAGAACUGAAGAAACGAACAUCCAAUAACAAUAUAUAUUCCAUAAGGUAGAUACUGUACAUAGGAACUGAAUUUUGGUGGGGAAGC
rnacentral:lncRNA from 1 species